rnacentral:rRNA from 1 species
GUCUUUUUGAAUUAAAUUUAAAGUCUAACCUGCCCACUGAAAUUUUUUAAAUGGCCGCAGUAUUCUAACUGUGCAAAGGUAGCAUAAUCAUUAGUCUUUUAAUUGAAGGCUGGAAUGAAUGGUUGGACGAAAUAUUAACUGUUUCAUUUAAAUUUUUUGUAGAAUUUUAUUUUUUAGUCAAAAAGCUAAAAUAAAUUUAAAAGACGAGAAGACCCUAUAAAUCUUUAUAUUUUGUUUAUUUUAAUUAUAAAGAUUAUUUUUAUUAUAAUAAAUUAAAAUAUUUUAUUGGGGUGAUAUUAAAAUUUAAAAAACUUUUAAUUUUUAAAACCAUUAAUUUAUGAAUAAUUGAUCCAUUAAUAAUGAUUAAAAAUUUAAGUUACUUUAGGGAUAACAGCGUAAUUUUUUUGGAGAGUUCAUAUCGAUAAAAAAGAUUGCGACCUCGAUGUUGGAUUAAGAUAUAAUUUUGGGUGUAGCCGUUCAAAUUUUAAGU